UCCCUCUGACUUCCCUUCCCGGAGGCUGCCUCACAUUCAGCCCGCGCACAUUUUGGACCUUUUUGACCGUUUGCUUUGAAUCGGUCGUGUUAUGACUUAUGAGUAACAGCAGCCUCCUCGCGUCAACUGAAACCUAAGUGACGCCUCAUUCACAUCUUAUCUUUCGGGCAACGCAUUUUGUGACCCACUCUCUCCGUUCUCGCUCGCUCCCUCGCACCUGAUCCCCCGCUCUGCUCCUGGUCCACGCCUCUACGUUCGCCGGCAUCUCUUUACUCACUUUUCCCCCUCAUAUUGCUCUUGUUUUUCCUCGAUCUCGGAUCGAUCGAAUGUCACCUGUUUCUUAGCCGUCGCCUUUGCCUGUCGAUCGCCACCACUGCAUUAUGUGCUUAUCUGCUGCACGUUGGCGUGCCGCUGCGCCACCGGCCGCCGACCGCCGGCCGAGUCUCUCCUCUCUUAUCUCUCUCUGACUUCCCUCCUUGGGGUUCACCUCACAUUCGGUCCAGCGUACAUUUUGACUAUUAUUUGCUUGAAACUGGUUAUCGCGUCAACCAAAACCUAAUUGGCAAACAUCACACAUCUUUUUCGGGCAAGGAAUUCUACGGCGCGCCCAGCCCCCAUCCGCCCCCCUCCCCCGCUCCUCGGUCUCUCUUCAUUUACCUAGUUUUCCUUGUUGUCGAUUGUCUUUGUCCGUCGAUUGCCAAUUUGCCAUCGCCACACUAUUCACCGGUCUCCACUCAGAUUUUUAUUCACUAUUACUUUUUCCAUUCCUUCCGUCUCUCUCAUACAAAUGAACACUCGCCGCGUUGGCUGAUCCAGCAUGUUUCGAUUACCUUAACCGCUUUUGCUACCUCGUCCAAUGAUGCCGAAGUUUUGCUGAUAAUAUUUUCAGCACUUUAGUUUUCAUUUUAAUUUAAUAUUACAUUCUCUAACAGCAAGAGGGGUAUCCUUCAUUGGCGUAUCAUGUCUGGAACUCCGUAGCCCCCCCCCCCCCUCCGUAUGGUAUCAUUGAAAAAGUCGUCUUACAG
rnacentral:lncRNA from 1 species